rnacentral:rRNA from 1 species
UACGGAGGGUGCAAGCGUUAUCCGGAUUUACUGGGUUUAAAGGGUGCGUAGGCGGGCCCUUAAGUCAGUGGUGAAAGCUCCGAGCUUAACUCGGAAACUGCCAUUGAUACUAUAGGUCUUGAAUUCGGUCGAGGUUGGCGGAAUGUGUCGUGUAGCGGUGAAAUGCUUAGAUAUGACAUAGAACACCAAUUGCGAAGGCAGCUCACUACACAAUCAUUGACGCUGAGGCACGAAAGCGUGGGGAUCAAACAGG